rnacentral:rRNA from 1 species
UACGGGGGGGGCAAGCGUUGUUCGGAAUUACUGGGCGUAAAGGGCGCGUAGGCGGCCUGCUAAGUCGGACGUGAAAUCCCCCGGCUCAACCGGGGAACUGCGUCCGAUACUGGUGGGCUCGAAUCCGGGAGAGGGAUGUGGAAUUCCAGGUGUAGCGGUGAAAUGCGUAGAUAUCUGGAGGAACACCGGUGGCGAAGGCGGCAUCCUGGACCGGUAUUGACGCUGAGGCG